UACAGAGGUCUCAAGCGUUGUUCGGAUUCAUUGGGCGUAAAGGGUGCGUAGGCGGCGCGGUAAGUCGGGUGUGAAAUCUUGGAGCUUAACUCCGAAACUGCAUUCGAUACUGCCGUGCUUGAGGACUGGAGAGGAGACUGGAAUUUACGGUGUAGCGGUGAAAUGCGUAGAUAUCAGGAGGAACACCGGUGGCGAAGGCGGCCCUCUGGACGGAUACUGACGCUGAGGCGCGAAAGCGUGGGGAUCAAACAGG
rnacentral:rRNA from 1 species